UGAAAGCAGUAUAUGAUCAUGCCAUAGCAUCAGCCUGUCUUUUAGUCAAUUGUACAUACAGGCCAUCCUGACGAAGUAGUUCCCUGUGACUGCCAACCUGUGUGGCGUAAAAGGAAAAUUAUGUUCAUACACAAUUCAGGCUAAGAUCACCAAGUAUGCUUGGCAAAUAUUUCAGGUUUUCAGUCGCUUCCACCCAGAUUCAACAUAUCAAGGUUCCCUUAUUACAACAUUUCAGCGUAACAAGACAGAAAACUAUAUAACAAGCUAAGGACCUAAUGUUGGGUCAGUCGGGUACACUUGAAGGUAAUUGCAAGUGGGGUAAUGGGUUUCAUCAUCCAGGGUCCAGACCCUUCCCCUAAGAUCUAAGAAAAAGCAAUACAAUUUAUUCCUAUAACACAAUUAACAAAAGGAACUAAGCCACUGCUAUUGUGUUAUUGGCCAUAUAUUACAGAGGUCUGAAGUGUGUGCAUUAUACUUACAAGGGGUUCGUGAGGCCCAACAUCAACAAUUUAUAUGAAGAAAAAGAACAAAAUCUCUACUAUACCGUAAGAGAUAUUGUAGGAUAAAGGCCUUCAAGGUUCUUUUACUCAAGUGGGUAAAGCAUGAUGCUUAUUUGAGCAGCAUUAUGUGUUGUGAAUAUUACUUUGGAUGCAGAAAUUAUGUUCAAUAAAAAUGGACAGAGUUAGGAAUGGAAUAGAUAUUUAAGAAUUUCAAUGGGAUAGUCAGAGUGCCAACCUCAAAAUUUUGACCACCGUUCAUUACCACUGUUCUGCCAGCAGCUUGUAUUGCAGAAAGCCUGCAGAAAAUGAACCUGUCAAACUUCAACUCACACAACACACUGGAAAGAGGGUAGCUGAGACCUACCUGUGCGCAAUUACUAUGACAGUUCUCUUU
rnacentral:misc_RNA from 1 species